UAAUUGAAGCCAAAAAGAGGCCUAUCACUGUUAAUGAUAAAAUUGAGCUCAAGCUCCAAUUAAG
rnacentral:tRNA from 1 species